rfam:Schistosoma rodhaini strain Burundi genome assembly, scaffold: SROB_scaffold0002986
AUCCAGCUGACGAGUGCCUAAUAGGAUGAAGCGCAAGUCCUGGAU